rnacentral:lncRNA from 1 species
CGGCGCACGUUAGCCCCUCUCCAUCUCUCCCAAGCGGUGGUGCCCUCCUCAUCCACCCACGUCACAAAUUCAGCCGCACAUCCCUCCCCACUUUAACAACAACCAUGCCCCUUUCCCUCCACCACACCCAACCCAAUCAACCUUCUCACUCUCUUCUCCUCUCCCCCUUAUCCUCCGCCCCCCUCCUCCCUAUCCUUCACCCACCCCCUUAACCUAAUCAACACUACCUUUCUUUUCCUCUUCUCCGCCAUGGCUUCCCCAUCUUCCCCCACUGAUUCCA